rnacentral:tRNA from 2 species
GAUUACUUAGUUUAUAUGUAAAACAAGUGUUUUGAAAACACUGGAAAGAGAGAGUCUCUAGUAAUUG